UUUGCCCUACGGGGGGCAGCAGUGAGGAAUAUUGGUCAAUGGACGAGAGUCUGAACCAGCCAAGUAGCGUGAAGGAUGACUGCCCUAUGGGUUGUAAACUUCUUUUGUCAGGGAGCAAUUGGGUCCACGCGUGGGCUUAGCGAGAGUACCUGAAGAAAAAGCAUCGGCUAACUCCGUGCCAGCAGCCGCGGUAAUACGGAGGAUGCGAGCGUUAUCCGGAUUUAUUGGGUUUAAAGGGUGCGCAGGCGGAGGUGCAAGUCAGUGGUCAAAUUGCGGGGCUCAACCCCGUACUGCCGUUGAAACUG
rnacentral:rRNA from 1 species